ACCAACCAACUUUGAACCCGGGUAAAUGUAUUCAAGACUCGAGAGGGGAUUGUUACGUGGGCAAAUUCUUACAGUGACCCGGUCCGGCUACCUCUAGCUUGUCCUGGUCCAAAUUGUUAGGCUUUUCUGAGUUUUCUUUCUUCUUCCUCCUAUUCUCAGUUCUCAUUGUUUAUUUUUCAUCUCAACUCCAACUCUCGCUUCUCGACCUCCAUGCCUCCUUCAAAAUAUCUCAAAUACUAUUUUCCUGCAAUAUUAUCUCUCAUCAAAAUUAAUUUGAAACUAGAUGAAUUUCAAUACCUACAUGCAAAUUAAAUCAAAACUCAGAUUUUUUUUUUAGCAUAAAAGAGGAAAAAGAAAUUCAACCCGAAAACCUCUUUCAAAUUCGAUUGAAUUAGGCAAUAUGUUUAUUGAUUAUGGUUAAUUGGAUGUUCUUCAUCCAAUUUGGGGCUGCUUGUUUGCAAUUAGAUGGAUAGACAUGGAGGUUGUCUGAGAGGAUGAUGGAGAACAAUGACGCCUGUUUCUUAUGCUGCCAACACCAAAUCAUUAAGGUAGCCAUGAGCCUUGUAGGAAUAUAUUGAGUUGAUGUCCACACAACCAAGCCACGAGUCCACGACGCCAUUAAUUAAGUUCAGAUCGUACUUGGAGCCUAGGAGAUAUAUGUGGGAAACUUACUACUCUCCUUUAUACUUUAUUAUUCCUCUCUUUUCUUAAUUUAUCAUAGAACAAGAUAGGUUUGGCUAUUAAGGAAUCCACCACCUUACAUUCUUGGUAAAAAAAGUAAAAUUCAUGGUUUGUGUUAUUUCAUUUGAAUUAUUUCAUAAUAAAUUACGAAAUUACUGUAAUAUUAUUAUGAAAGUUUAAUGUAUUACCUAUUAUAAAGUAAAAUUAAAGUUAAUUUGCA